UGGGGGAUAUUGCACAUUGGGCGAAAGCCUGAUGCAGCGACGCCGCGUGGGGGAUGAAGGCUUUCGGGUUGUAAACCUCUUUCGCUAUCGAACAAGGCCCGCUUAGGGUGGGUUGAGGGUAGGUGGAGAAGAAGCGCCGGCUAACUACGUGCCAGCAGCCGCGGUAAUACGUAGGGCGCGAGCGUUGUCCGGAAUUAUUGGGCGUAAAGGGCUUGUAGGCGGCUUGUUGCGCCUGCUGUGAAAACGCGGGGCUUAACUUCGCGCGUGCAGUGGGUACGGGCAGGCUUGAGUGUGGUAGGGGUGACUGGAAUUCCAGGUGUAGCGGUGGAAUGCGCAGAUAUCUGGAGGAACACCGAUGGCGAAGGCAGGUCACUGGGCCAUUACUGACGCUGAGGAGCGAAAGCAUGGGUAGCGAACAGG
rnacentral:rRNA from 1 species